rnacentral:rRNA from 1 species
ACGGGGAGCAGCAGGCGCGAAACCUUUACACUGCACGACAGUGCGAUAAGGGGACCCCGAGUGCGAGGGCAUACAGUCCUCGCUUUUCGUGACCGUAAGGAGGUCACAGAAUAAGGGCUGGGCAAGACCGGUGCCAGCCGCCGCGGUAAUACCGGCAGCCCGAGUGAUAGCCACUAUUAUUGGGCCUAAAGCGUCCGUAGCCGGCCGAACGGGUCCGUCGGGAAAUCCACCCGCUCAACGGGUGGGCGUCCGGCGGAAACCAGUCGGCUUGGGGCCGGGAGACCAGAGGGGUACGUCCGGGGUAGGAGUGAAAUCCUGUAAUCCUGGACGGACCACCGGUUGCGAAAGCGCCUCUGGAGAACGGACCCGACGGUGAGGGACGAAAGCUAGGGUCUCGAACCGGAUUAGAUACCCGGGUAGUCCUAGCUGUAAACGAUGCUCGCUAGGUGCGGCGCAGGCUACGAGCCUGCGCUGCGCCGUAGGGAAGCCGAGAAGCGAGCCGCCUGGGAAGUACGUCCGCAAGGAUGAAACUUAAAGGAAUUGGCGGGGGAGCAC